ensembl:lncRNA
AUGGCACUGUGUCAUUGUCACUGCACUGGGCAUGGGGACAUCCCUGUGCCAGGUGUGGGGACAUCACAGUGGCACUGUCACCAUGCUGGGUCCAGGCCCAUGACUGUGUCACCAUCACUGCGUUGGGCAUGGGGACAGUACUGUGUCACCGUCACCAUACCGGGUGCAGGGGUGGCACUGUGUCACUGUGCCAGGUGUGGGGACAUCGCAGUGUCACCGUCACCACACCGGGUACGGGGAGGUCACUGCGUCACCGUGGCUGCACUGGGCAUGGGGAUAGCGCUGGGCCACUGUCACCAUAGUGGGGUACAGGGAUGUCACUGUGCCACUGUCACCAUACCAGGUGCAGGGGUGGCACUGUGUCACCAGCGCUGUGUUGGGUAUGGGGACAUCAUGGUGCCAGGUGUGGGGACAUCACGGUGGCACUGUCACCACGCUGGGUCCAGGGCCAUGACUGUGUCACCGUCACUGCGUUGGGUAUGGGGACAGCGCUGGGUCACUGUCACCAUGUGGGGUACAGGGAUGGCACUGUGUCAUUGUCACUGUACCGGGUAUGGGGACAUCACGGUGGCACUGUCACCAUGCUGGGUUCAGGGCCAUGACUGUGUCACCGUCACUGUGUUGGGCAUGGGGACAGUGCUGUGUCACCGUCACCAUACCGGGUGCAGGGGUGGCACUGUGUCACUGUGCCGGGUGUGGGGACAUCGCAGUGUCACCGUCACCAUAGCGGGUGCAGGGAUGUCACUGUGUCACCAGCGCUGUGUUGGGUAUGGGGACAUCGCUGUGUCACUGUCACCAUAUGGGGUACAGGGAUGUCAUUGUGCCACUGUCACCAUACCAGAUACGGGGACAUUGCUGUGUCACCAGCGCUGUGUUGGGUAUGGGGACAUCUCUGUGCUGGGUGUGGGGACAUCACAGUGGCACUGUCACCAUGCUGGGUCCAGGGCCAUGACUGUGUCACCGUCACUGCGUUGGGUAUGGGGACAGCGCUGGGCCACUGUCACCAUAUGGGGUACAAGGAUGGCACUGUGCCACUGUCACCAUACCGGGUACGGGGACAUCGCUGUGUCACCAGCGCUGUGUUGGGUAUGGGGACAUCAUGGUGCCAGGUGUGGGGACCUCACAGUGGCACUGUCACCAUGCUGGGUCCAGGGCCAUGACUGUGUCACCGUCGCUGCACUGGGCACGGGGACAUCGCUGUGUCGCUGUCACCAUGUGGGGUACAGGGAUGGCACUGUGCCACUGUCACCAUACCGGGUACGGGGGCAUUGCUGUGUCACCAGCGCUGUGUUGGGUAUGGGGACAUCCCUGUGCCAGGUGUGGGGACCUCACGGUGCCACCGUCACCAUAGCGGGUGCAGGGACAUCACUGUGUCACUGUCACUGCACUGGGCAUGGGGACAGCACUGUGACACUGUCACCAUAGCGGGUGCAGGGGUGGCACUGUGUCACCAGCGCUGUGUUGGGUAUGGGGACAUCCCUGUGCCACUGUCACUGUGCCAGGUGUGGGGACAUCACGGUGGCACUGUCACCACGCUGGGUCCAGGGCCAUGACUGUGUCACCGUCACUGUGUUGGGUAUGGGGACAUCGCUGGGCCACUGUCACCAUAGUGGGGUACAGGGAUGGCACUGUGUCAUUGUCACUGUACCAGGUAUGGGGACAUCGCUGUGUCAUUGUCACUGCACCGGGCAUGGGGACAGCACUGUGCCACUGUCACCAUAGCGGGUGCAGGGGUGGCACUGUGUCACCAGCGCUGUGUUGGGUAUGGGGACAUCACAGUGCUGCUGUCACCAUAUGGGGUACAGGGAUGUCACUGUGACAGUGUCACCGUACGGGGAUGGCACUGUGUCACUGUGCCAGGUCUGGGGACAGCGCUGUCACCGUCACCGCUCCGGGUGUCACUGUGCCACCGCCGCUAUAUUGGGCGCAGGGAGGGGUGGCACCGUGCCACCGUCCCCUGUGCUGGGUAUGGGGACAUCGUGGUGUCAGUGUCACCGUACCAGGUGCAGGGGUGUCACUGUGUCACCGCGCCGGGUACGGGGACAGCGCUGCGUCACUGUCACCGUGCUUUGGGUCCAGGGACAUGGCAGUGUCACCAGCGCUGUGCUGGGUAUGGGGACGUCACGGGGUCAGUGUCACCAUAGCAGGGACAGGGAGGUCACCGUGCCACUGUCAC